UGGGCUGUGGCUCAGUGGCAGAGCGCUCGCCUGGCAUGUGUGAGGCACUGGGUUCAAUCCUUAGCACCACAU
rnacentral:tRNA from 1 species